GGAAUAAGAUUUUUCCCUCCAAUGACACGAAUGCCCCCGAGAAGCCGCACAAUCGCCGACCCUGGACAGCCGAAGUCGGCGUCCGACCUCGGAACGUCCGACCUCGGAACGCCCGACCUCAAGGCAUCCGACCUCGGGACCUCCGACCUAGGAAAAUCCUGAUGUUCAAAGUCUACCCUUAUCAGCCACCUGCCACGGCCAUACCCCUCUGAGGUCCGGCCGAGGACCAUACCCUGACGCCCCUCCGGCAUUUAUUGCGCAUGGCCACUGUAAACCUCCGGUUCACUCAACAAUUAAUGCGGAUCUCCGGCUUACUCCACAAUUAAUGCGGAUCUCCGGCCCACUCCACAAUUAAUGCGGAUCUCCGGCUUACUCCAUAAUUAAUGCGGAUCUCCGGCCUACUCCACAAUUAAUGCGGAUCUCCGGCCUACUCCACAAUUAAUGCGGAUCUCCGGCCUACUCCACAAUUAAUGCGCAUGGCUCCUGUCAUCUACGGAUCCUCAGCUCUCUACGGCAAGCCAGCCCUGCAGAGUCUAGUCGACUAUGAUAAGUCUCUGAUCUCGGCCAUACCUCCGACGCCAAUGCAAUAAUUCGUCUGGUAGCGUGCAAGCCCAGGUCGUACGACGACCUCACCGCCGACAUCAACGCAAUGAUUCACCUGAUCGUGCGCCGACCUGAACAACAUGCCGAGCCGUACUACGGCCUCGCCCCGUUACAUCACAGGUAAACCGACCCCCGCCUAUAAAAGGGAACCUUGUCCCCUUAGGUGAGGGAGGUCGGGGGGGGAAAAAAAUUACGCACCCUACAAACACUAUUCUUCUCCUCUCUACACUAUUUGCCCCCUCCCUGACUUGAGCGUCGGAGGGCCGGCGCCGGAAAACCCGGCCACCGGCUUGUCUGCAGGCACCCCAGACGGAGGANNN
rnacentral:lncRNA from 1 species